rnacentral:rRNA from 1 species
CACGUAGGGGGCAAGCGUUGUCCGGAUUUAUUGGGCGUAAAGAGCUCGUAGGCGGCUCAGUUAGUCGGGUGUGAAACCCCCGGGCUCAACCCGGGGACGCCACCCGAUACUGCUGUGGCUAGAGUCCGGUAGGGGAGCGUGGAAUUCCUGGUGUAGCGGUGAAAUGCGCAGAUAUCAGGAGGAACACCGAUGGCGAAGGCAGGUCUCUGGGCCAUAACUGACGCUGAGAAGCGAAAAGCAUGGGGAGCGAACAGG